GACGAACGCUGGCGGCGUGCUUAACACAUGCAAGUCGAACGGAAAGGCCCUGCUUGCAGGGUACUCGAGUGGCGAACGGGUGAGUAACACGUGGGUGAUCUGCCCUGCACUUCGGGAUAAGCCUGGGAAACUGGGUCUAAUACCGGAUAGGAGCCAUCUUUAGUGUGAUGGUUGGAAAGUUUUUUCGGUGUAGGAUGAGCUCGCGGCCUAUCAGCUUGUUGGUGGGGUAAUGGCCUACCAAGGCGGCGACGGGUAGCCGGCCUGAGAGGGUGGACGGCCACAUUGGGACUGGGAUACGGCCCAGACUCCUACGAGAGGCAGCAGUGGGGAAUAUUGCACAAUGGGCGCAAGCCUGAUGCAGCGACGCGGCGUGGGGGAUGACGGCCUUGGGGUUGUAAGCACCGUUCGCUAGGGACGAAGCUUUUUGUGACGGUACCUAGAUAAGAAGCACCGGCUAACUACGUG
rnacentral:rRNA from 1 species